UACAGAGGGGGCGAGCGUUGUUCGGAAUUACUGGGCGUAAAGGGCGCGUAGGUGGCCUGCUAUGUCGAACGUGAAAUCCCUGGGCUCAACCCAGGAACUGCGUCCGAAACUGGCAGGCUUGAAUCCGGGAGAGGGAUGUGGAAUUCCAGGUGUAGCGGUGAAAUGCGUAGAUAUCUGGAGGAACACCGGUGGCGAAGGCGGCAUCC
rnacentral:rRNA from 1 species